rnacentral:rRNA from 1 species
GAUGAACGCUGGCGGCGUGCCUAAUACAUGCAAGUCGAGCGAACGGACGAUAAGCUUGCUUCUCUGAUGUUAGCGGCGGACGGGUGAGUAACACGUGGAUAACCUACCUAUAAGACGGGGAUAACUUCGUGAAACCGCUGCUAAUACCGGAUGAUAUUUUGAACCGCAUGGUUCAAAAGUGAAAGACGGUCUUGCUGUCACUUAUAGAUGGAUCCGCGCUGCAUUAGCUAGUUGGUAAGGUAACGGCUUACCAAGGCAACGAUGCAUAGCCGACCUGAGAGGGUGAUCGGCCACACUGGAACUGAGACACGGUCCAGACUCCUACGGGAGGCAGCAGUAGGGAAUCUUCCGCAAUGGGCGCAAGCCUGACGGAGCAACGCCGCGUGAGUGAUGAAGGUCUUCGGAUCGUAAAACUCUGUUAUUAGGGAAGAACAUAUGUGUAAGUAACUGUGCACAUCUUGACGGUACCUAAUCAGAAAGCCACGGCUAACUACGUG